AUUGGACCUGACCAGAUGAUUUGAUGACCCAAGAGGAAUAUCAGUUACAUGUACUGUAGGUGGCAGCUGGCUGAUGCAGUACUAGUAGUGGGGACUACUGCCUGUACCUGACAAGACAGACUGGACCAGACCAGAUGAUCUGAAGACCCAAGAGGAAUAUCAGUUAGGUGGCUGCUGACUGAUGCAGUAGUG